rnacentral:rRNA from 1 species
GACGAACCGUGCGAACGUUAUUCGGAAUCACUGGGCUUAAAGGGCGCGUAGGCGGGCCAUCAAGUCAGGGGCUAAAGCCCCCAGCUCAACUGGGGAAGUGCCUCUGAUACUGGUGGCCUCGAGGGAGGUAGGGGCGUGCGGAACUUCCGGUGGAGCGGUGAAAUGCGUAGAUAUCGGAAGGAACACCGGUGGCGAAAGCGGCGCGCUGGACCUCUUCUGACGCUGAGGCGCGAAAGCCAGGGGAGCGAACGGG